GCCCUAAUACUGGUUCAAGAAAUGGUCUUCAAAGUCUCUAUGUCUGACUCAGAAAAUUCAAUGUAGGAGCAAAUGAAACCUCGGUGUAGCCGAAGUGAAGUGAGUCUUAACAUUUUGGGGAAGGAACAUUUAGAUUGCAAGCCUUCCGAUUUUAAGGAAAGUGAGUAUCAUAAUUUAUGGGAGAGAGCUCCAAAAUAUAGUUGAAAUGGUGUAGUACUAGUUCGCUUUAGGCUAUGUUUUUUCCAAGGUCCAGCCCAGUCCUGAUACAUUUUGUUAAAAUGAUAUAUAGGACCACAUAGGCGGAAAGAGGCCAGUAAAUGAUGAAAACUAUAAUUUAGUUCAUGUGAAGGUUAAGGUUCCCUGGCA
rnacentral:lncRNA from 1 species